GAUAACCUGCCUCAAGGCUGGGGAUAACCUUUAGAAACAGAUGCUAAUACCGAAUAAAACUUAGUAUCGCAUGAUAUCAAGUUAAAAGGCGCUACGGCGUCACCUAGAGAUGGAUCCGCGGUGCAUUAGUUAGUUGGUGGGGUAAAGGCUUACCAAGACGAUGAUGCAUAGCCGAGUUGAGAGACUGAUCGGCCACAUUGGGACUGGGACACGGCCCAAACUCCUACGGGAGGCUGCAGUAGGGAAUCUUCCACAAUGGGCGCAAGCCUGAUGGAGCAACGCCGCGUGUGUGAUGAAGGCUUUCGGGUCGUAAAGCACUGUUGUAUGGGAAGAAAUGCUAAAAUAGGGAAUGAUUUUAGUUUGACGGUACCAUACCAGAAAGGGACGGCUAAAUACGUGCCAGCAGCCGCGGUAAUACGUAUGUCCCGAGCGUUAUCCGGAUUUAUUGGGCGUAAAGCGAGCGCAGACGGUUGAUUAAGUCUGAUGUGAAAGCCCGGAGCUCAACUCCGGAAUGGCAUUGGAAACUGGUUAACUUGAGUGUUGUAGAGGUAAGUGGAACUCCAUGUGUAGCGGUGGAAUGCGUAGAUAUAUGGAAGAACACCAGUGGCGAAGGCGGCUUACUGGACAACAACUGACGUUGAGGCUCGAAAGUGUGGGUAGCAAACAGGAUUAGAUACCCUGGUAGUCCACACCGUANACGAUGAGUACUAGGUGUUAGGAGGUUUCCGCCUCUUAGUGCCCAAGCUAACGC
rnacentral:rRNA from 1 species